GACGAGGGGUCCUAGCGUUGUUCGGAAUCACUGGGCGUAAAGCGUUUGUAGGCGGCUCUAUAAGUCGGGUGUGAAAUCCCAUGGCUCAACCAUGGAAGUGCAUUCGAAACUGCAGAGCUUGAAUAUGGAAGAGGAGAGUAGAAUACCUGGUGUAGUGGUGAAAUACGUAGAUAUCAGGUGGAAUACCGGUGGCGAAGGCGGCUCUCUGGUCCAAUAUUGACGCUGAGAAACGAAAGUGCGGGGAUCAAACAGG
rnacentral:rRNA from 1 species